AGAUUGAACGCUGGCGGAAUGCUUUACACAUGCAAGUCGAACGGCAGCACGGGGGCAACCCUGGUGGCGAGUGGCGCACGGGUGAGUAAUACAUCGGAACGUAUCCUAGAGUGGGGGAUAGCCCGGCGAAAGCCGGAUUAAUACCGCAUACGCUCGAAAGAGGAAAGUGGGGGAUCGUAAGACCUCACGCCCAAGGAGCGGCCGAUGCCGGAUUAGCUUGUUGGUGAGGUAAAAGCUCACCAAGGCGACGAUCCGUAGCUGGUCUGAGAGGACGACCAGCCACACUGGGACUGAGACACGGCCCAGACUCCUACGGGAGGCAGCAGUGGGGAAUUUGGACAAUGGGGGAAACCCUGAUCCAGCCAUUCCGCGUGAGUGAAGAAGGCCUUCGGGUGUAAAGCUCUUUCGGCAGGAACGAAACGGUUUGGUUAAUACCUCAGACUACUGACGUACCUGAAGAAGAAGCACCGGCUAACUACGUGUACAGCAGCCGC
rnacentral:rRNA from 1 species